GAUGAACGCUGGCGGCGUGCCUAAUACAUGCAAGUCGAGCGAACGGACGAGAAGCUUGCUUCUCUGAUGUUAGCGGCGGACGGGUGAGUAACACGUGGAUAACCUACCUAUAAGACUGGGAUAACUUCGGGAAACCGGAGCUAAUACCGGAUGAUAUUUUGAACCGCAUGGUUCAAAAGUGAAAGACGGUCUUGCUGUCACUUAUAGAUGGAUCCGCGCUGCAUUAGCUAGUUGGUAAGGUAACGGCUUACCAAGGCAACGAUGCAUAGCCGACCUGAGAGGAUGAUCGGCCACACUGGAACUGAGACACGGUCCAGACUCCUACGGGAGGCAGCAGUAGGGAAUCUUCCGCAAUGGGCGAAAGCCUGACGGAGCAACGCCGCGUGAGUGAUGAAGGUCUUCGGAUCGUAAAACUCUGUUAUUAGGGAAGGACAUAUGUGUAAGUAACUGUGCACAUCUUGACGGUACCUAAUCAGAAAGCCACGGCUAACUACGUG
rnacentral:rRNA from 1 species